GGAAGGACUGUGGCUCACUGGAAGAGCACCUGCUUUGUAUGAAGAAGGUUCUGGGUUCAAUUCCUGACAUCUCCA